rnacentral:rRNA from 1 species
CAGAGGUGGCAAGCGUUGUUCGGAUUUAUUGGGCGUAAAGGGUCCGUAGGCGGUUUGGAAAGUCGGAUGUGAAAUCCUCCAGCUUAACUGGGGAACUGCAUUCGAAACUUCCGAACUAGAGUAUGAGAGGGGUUAAGGGAAUUCCCGGUGUAAGGGUGAAAUCUGCAGAGAUCGGGAGGAACACCAGUCGCGAAGGCGCUUAACUGGCUCAUUACUGACGCUCAGGGACGAAAGCUAGGGUAGCAAACGGGAUUAGAUACCCCGGUAGUCCUAGCCGUAAACUAUGGUCACUAGGUGUUGGGGGGGUUAAACCCUUCAGUGCCGUCGCUCACGCAUUAAGUGACCCGCCUGGGGAGUACGGUCGCAAGGCUG